CACACCGCCCGUCACACCAUGGAGUGGUUUACCUGAAGACGGUGCGCUAACCAGCAAUGGAGGCAGCCGGCCACGGUAGGGUCAGCCGACUCGGGGUGA
rnacentral:rRNA from 1 species